CUCUCUCUCUCUCUUUCUCAUUAAUAAAAAACCCUAAUUCAUCAUUUCCUUCUAUCAUCGCCCCUUCUCUUUAUCAUCGAGUUUCUUUUGUCUUCCCCCUUCAUCAUCCUCUGCAAACCCUUCCUUCGAUCAUCGCCCCUUUUUUUAUCAUCGAGUUUCUUUUGUCUUCCCCCUUCAUCAUCCUCUGUAAACCCUAAAGGAAUCUACACCAGUUCAUCGAGGAUUACUGAUUCAAUCCGAUGGAAUAAUGGAUCUUACAAAUGUCGUUGUUAUUUUGCAAGCAACAGAGUCCCAAUCAUGUUGAACGAAAACCCGCUGAAGAUAGCCUCAAUCAGGUAUAAAAGUUAUGUUUUUUUUUAAUUCAUUAAACUUCCUUUCUCACGCAACAAUUUGAUGCUAAUAUUACAGUUUCAUCGUUUUGUCAGGCUAGGGUUUAUUUUGGUUCAGAUAUGUUCAAGUUAGGAUUUUUUUAGUCAGAUUUACGGACGUCAGUUAUUUUUGUUUUAUUAGAAUUAGGGUUUCAUUUCAUCUUGAUGUAAGUGACAAUGUUUAAUUCAAUUAUCAAUUCAGAUUAGGGUUUGUUUUGGUUCAUAUUUUUUGAGAUUAGGAUUUUUAUUCAGAUUUUUUUAACAUUUCUGCUUACAAAUGAUGCAAAACUUUUUAGACAAAGCAUAUUAUGGAUCCCCUAUUGCUAAUAAGUGAUUUUUAGAUGCCAUGUUUCUUUGAUUUCUUUGUUCAUACUACCUAUUGGUAUAAAAUCGUUGGUAGACUGUGAAGUUAGUGUGUAGUUUUUCAAAUAGUAUCCAUUGUAAUCUCAAUUCAGAACCCUAAUCUUCCAGCCUCCAUCGUCGUUCUUCUCCAAUCGAUGAACUAAUCAGGUACGCAUUCAGAUUACAAUUUCUUUUGGAUCGUUGAAUUGAAGUAUGAAGACAAUUAAUUCAACAGGUUUGGGUUACAUAACUAUCAAGCAUUCUUUUGUUAUUAUAUAUGAUGAGAACGAAUCUUCCACUUAUUAUUUUAGGGAACACCAUUUGGCCAGAUUUUUCGCUACAUUCGUUGCCGUUGCUGGAAAAAAAAACUAGGAAGACCGUGGGUGAGAAUCUGGACUUACCUUUUAGCUUUCAAAAUCGUUAUCAAUCAGCGUUAGUUGCUGUUACUUUAUUCAGGUGCUUGCGUGGGCAUAUGUAUAUAAUAAACACGAUACAUGGGAGCAGUUCUAUAUUUACUCGAUAUGUACACCAUUAGGGUCCCAAAUGUUGUACUUGAUAAAAAAGAAUUCAAGUGAAAAAGUUGCACUUGAUUGAAGACCAGUGAUUAGCUUUUGAUAUCUUCUACAUACAGCUCAUGCUAAAUCGUUCAUAGAUGUGCGAUUUUUAGAAGAAUUGUACAACAAAUACAAAGAUCUUUUUGUUGAUAUCCGCAUAGCUGAUGGGGUGGUCGGCUGGUUCGGUUGACAACUCAAAAUGUGUUCAGGUCAGAAAUUGUCCAAACCGUUUCUGAACAAAACUGGUUCGGGUCAAAACGUGUUAUGAAAUAAAUGAGUUAAAGGGUAAUCAUUUUGGGUAACAAAACAGAUUCGGGUCAUAAUGGGUAUGAAUGAAAUGUGUUACGGGUAAGGGUUUAGUAUAACAAAACAGGUUCAGGUCAAAACAGGUUAGGAGAUAGCUGAAUUAGGGUUGUUGUUUUAAAAAACAUUAAGAUGUUCAAGUCUAAAUGGGCAAGGGCAAUAUGGAGUUGGUAUAUAAAAAAGUAACAAAAUAGAUCCACCUGCUACCGGCGAUAAUGGUAUCCAUAUUCUAAUUUUCUUUCAAUUCACUUUUUUCACAUAUAUUGUGUUUGAUGUAUGUUCAAUAAAAUGAAGCUGGAAUGGCUAGGGUGUCUUUAAAUGUUGUUAAAGUUGCAUCUCUAUACAUGUUUUGCCUAGCACAGGUUUGGGUGGAAAAAAACCUGCUUACACGUUUAACUAUUUAAGGUGGCCUUUUUGAAAAAAAGUAUUAGAUUGGUUUGGUCAAAAGGGGUAAGGGUAACAAAAAAGUUCAAGUCGAAUGGUUAGGGUGACCGUUUUGGCUAAAUAUCAUUUUUGUUUCGAGUCAAAAGGCGUAGGGUACAUUAAGUAAUAGUAACUUUUAAACUGAACCCAUUUUGUCCCGAACCUAUUGUGAUUAGAAACUGCUUUGACCUAACCAAAUUGUACAUGUUUUACCAACGGCAAGUUCUGACCCGUUACAUGAUCCGUCCGUUUUAACUUUUUUUUAAAAAAAUAGGCCAAACAUGGAUUUGUGCGUUGAUUGCGUAAAACCUUCAAUUCGAAGAUAAUUAAAAAAAUGAAAAGAUCAUGGAGCUACAAAAUUACUAAAAACCUAUUAUGUUCGUGAAUGCAUAAAACUGAAUCACACUGUACAUGAGGACAUUUCUUGAUUCAUGAAGGAAUCAUGCCUUUUACUCAACCGCAAUCCAGGCUUCCUUUAAUUCUGAUCAACGGUGCAUCAGAACAAUCCUUGAUUAAUGAAGGAAGCGACAGUGAUUUCAACCCAGGCGUUUCGGCUGUGUUCGAUUCUGACCAAAAACACUCCUGAAUUAGAUUGUUGCAGCCAACUCCAUUUGGUCAUGUCGGGGUCCGUUCAUGGAUGCAAGUCCUUUCGGACUGAGCUUAUUUGGUCUGAACGGAAAGCCCUUUCAAACCAAGUGGGACUGUGGAAAACUUCUUUGCUAAGAGGUAUUGGUUUUGGAACACUUCAACAGUUCAUGUGAACAGUAAGUUUAAUGCAUAUAUUUUAGGGAGAAAAAAAAACACAAUUGUAUUUAGUGUUUAUAAAUUUGAAUAACUAAUAUAUUUUUUAUUUUUAUAUUUAUUUAUUAUUGAUUGUUAAUAUUAAUUAUUAAGUAUUAAAUUUUAUCUAAUCAAAUAUAAUAUCUAAUUUUGUUUAGUGACUUUCGUUUCAAAAAUUCUAAAUUUUCUUUGGCUUUGUCACAAAUCUAAAAUAUAAUAAAAAAUAUUUGGUUAAUGGUCAAUUGUGGAGUAAAAAGAUAGGAAACUAUUUGAUUUUGCUACAUUAAAUGGUUAAUUAAAGAUAAUUUUAGUGAGUAUCAUAGUGUGAACAUAACUCUUCAAAAUUUUAAUGCAAAUGGUUUAGUGGCAAAGUUAGAUUCUGUGGAGGAAAAGGGCAAAGGAUGAUAGGUAGAAGUGGUGACUUGAUACAUCCGGUAAAUUUAUGGUUAAGAGCAUUUUAACAAGACUGCGCAGUUGUGGAUAAUGACUUCACAUUUAAUGGAAUAAUUGGGUGUCGUUAAAGGUUAAUUUUUUUUUUUAGUUUGGAGGAUGGCAAGGAACCAAGUAGCUACAAAAUAAAAGAAAAACAAAAUAUAUAACUGAUCAAUUUAUUUGUACAAUUUUAUUUAUCUACUAAUAAUUAAUCUAAAUAACUUCCUCGAGCCCGGGCUACAUUUCCUUUCUAAACCAGCAAAAAUUUAUGGUGGAGAAGGGAAAGAGGAUAAUUUAGAGGUUCAAAGUGUUACUUAGGCUAAUAGAUGGUUAAACUUAGGUUUUUAUGAUCUGAUAUAUAUUAUUAUCUUAGGUUGUUAUGUUAUUAAGGAUUGGGGCAAAAUAUAGGCAAAUGGGUCAAAAUGAGUAAUCUUAACUGUCAUAUUUUAUUUCGUUUUCGAAUUAGUGUAUAUAUAUACACACACAUACAUAUGUAAUCAAAACCUGUGUUGUUGAUUGUAGCCAUUUAAGCGCUUCAGUUACGUUUUGGUUGUUGUUGAUUGUAGCCAUUUAAGCGCUUCAGUGACGUUUUGGUCAGGUUUUGUGGUGGUUCCGGCUAAACACGAAUUGGUUUUUUAGACAUUUUGGGUACUCAUCUCUAACUAUCUGUUUAUUCAUGUCACAUUCAGUGUUAAGCUCCAUGAGAGGUGAUGAUGCAAAGAAAAUUUGCCCCGAGUUUCAAUUGGUACGUGAUAAAGCUGAGUUGAGCAUAAUGAAGUUGGACAUGAUAUGCAUUGGAGUGGCUCAAACCAUAUGACACCGACACCUUUAGUACUGGUACAAAUUCUGUAGCAUAGGGUACUACUUCAGUAGCAGAUAAGAUACAAGAGCAAAUAAGUAUCAGUUUCGAUUACUCAAUGUUCAUGUAUUGUUUUUAUUUAAUGUAAUUAUACCAGUUGUUUCAAUAGCCAGAUGUUCUUUAUUUUAAAAUCAAAGAUUAU